GAUGAACGCUGGCGGCGUGCCUAAUACAUGCAAGUCGAGCGAACAGACGAGGAGCUUGCUCCUCUGACGUUAGCGGCGGACGGGUGAGUAACACGUGGAUAACCUACCUAUAAUACUGGGAUAACUUCGGGAAACCGGAGCUAAUACCGGAUAAUAUAUUGAACCGCAUGGUUCAAUAGUGAAAGACGGCUUUGCUGUCACUUAUAGAUGGUUCCGGGCCGCAUUAGCUAGUUGGUAAGGUAACGGCUUACCAAGGCAACGAUGCGUAGCCGACCUGAGAGGGUGAUCGGCCACACUGGAACUGAGACACGGUCCAGACUCCUACGGGAGGCAGCAGUAGGGAAUCUUCCGCAAUGGGCGAAAGCCUGACGGAGCAACGCCGCGUGAGUGAUGAAGGUCUUCGGAUCGUAAAGCUCUGUUAUUAGGGAAGAACAAAUGUGUAAGUAACUAUGCACGUCUUGACGGUACCUAAUCAGAAAGCCACGGCUAACUACGUG
rnacentral:rRNA from 1 species